rnacentral:lncRNA from 1 species
CAUUCACACGCCCCUCACCCCUCUCUCAUCUCUCUCUCUUUCUUCCUUAAUCCUCCAUUCUUAACCAUUCUCAAAGCUUCAAAAAUCAUAUCUCCACCAUAGAUCUUCACUAAAUCAAAUCAAAACUUCAUUUCCUUUGAAUCAAGAGCAAGAUUGAUGGAGUUUCAAGCUUGAAGUUAGAGAGAAGAAUUUUUAUUUCUUUCAAAAUCCUUGAGUAAGUGAUGAAUCCUUUUAGAUCUAGACUUAAAUGUGUUGUAUAUGUGUAUAUAUGGAUAGAUCAAUCAAGAAAACACCCAUAUUCCUUCUUUGUGAUUUUCGAAAAUUUGGGGUCUUUUACCCUUCAAAAAUUUUCUUUCCUUUUCUUAAAUUGAUGUUAUUUAAAUACUAUUGAGUUCCUAAUUAGUCUUUUUCCAUGUGUAGAUAAUUGAAUUAAAAAGAGAUAUGAGAUUUGAAAUAGUUUAGUUUGUGUAAAUUUGGGAAGUUUUGUAAUUGAGGCUUGAUUGAUGAAUUGAUGGAUGAUAUAUGCUAUUGAGAGUGUUUAUAUGAGAUUUGAUGGAUUGGAUUGAUGGUUGAAAUUGAUUAGUAAUUUUUGAUAUGAGUUAGUUUGAUGUAAUUUGGGUAAAUUGAUUCUAUGGUUUAAUUUACUAAUUGAUUGUUUAUUUAUGCUAUUAAGUGUGCCAAUUUGAUAGAUCUAAGGUUGGAUUAAUGAUUUAUGCAUGUUUACAAAAUUUCAAAAAGUUUAGUUUGUUAAAAAUUGGGACUUUGUGAUCUAUGUGUUAAUUGAUUAAAUUGGCUAAGUUUAAUUGUUAUUAAGCAUGAUAGAAAUGAUAAUUAGGGAUCAAUUUGGUUAAUUGUCAAGAAUGCCUAAAAUUGGUUAAGUUUAGUUGCUAAUAAUUGGGAACUUUUGAUUAAUGAGAUAACUACUUGAAUUGAUGAUGUUUAUGUGAUAGUUAGACUACUAGCAAGGAGAAAGCAUGAUUAAUUUUAAUGAUGUUGAUUUGUUUACUAUUUUUAUAAAAUGGAAAACUAAAACUGCUACUUUCUGCCGAAAUGUUCGGUGAGUAGACAAUAUUGUUACCUUUUCCAGUAUCUUUCCCUAACUUUUUGGAGCCUAAAUUUUUAUUGUUAAGACAUGAGUGUCUUAGCUAAGUACCCACAAAAUUUCAAGUCUUUUCGACAACGUUUACUAUUUUUCAAAAAUCAAAGUUUUCAAUUGCUCAAAACUGCCGAAUAUGAUGGACUGUAGGAAAACAGUCAUAUCUCCUAAANAAGGUCACGGCGACGGCGUCGUUAUCGGCUGUGCUACUUACUUUUGUGUGUUGUUUUUGUUCGAGCUUACGGCGACGGAGUCUAACCGGCCGUAUAGCUCUCCUUUCUGGGCUAUUUGGCGACGGCGUAUCACCGGCCAUUUGCCCCUGCUUUGUCUUUUUUGCGGGGUGAGAGCCGGGUUGGUUUGGGGACGAUGGUUAGGCCGGAGUUCCGGAAACUUACCCUUCCGCUCUCUCACCCCUCUUUUUCCUUUUUUGUUUUUAGACGAGUACUCUUUUUCCUGUCUACGGUUUUUCCCCCUGGAUUUUCCAUAGAAAGGUUUUAAUGAGGCUCGGCCCUUAGUCUGCUUUCUUGUACUUUCAAGGGUUUUUUUAGGUUUUCUUUUUUUAAUAAAAUCUUAAUUUAAUAAUAAUAAAGAUGAAAAAGCUUUCUUUCACUCACAACACACUCAACCACUUUAUUAAAACCCGUAUGAUUCUCAAAUGAUUAUUAAAUUGGAAGACAAAUGAAGUAUACAAAAAAUAUUUUAAUAUAUAAUUCAUUAUUUACAUUAUAACUCAUAAUACUCCAUCAGUCCUAUUUCAAUACAUCAGUAUUUAAUUAAAUUUAAUAUAUUACAAAUAUUUUAAUAUUUAAUUCAUUAUUUACAUUAUAACCCAUAAUAAUUAUUUAGUCUCACCCACAAUUAAUUUAUAAAUUUAAUAGCCCAGUAAUCCCAAAAUUUCUCACACUUACUUUAUUGAUUGAAAUUAUUAGAGCAUUCACAGUGAUGAGGACGGGAAUACUCAUCAGCGCUGUGCUUAGUAGUUUAAGUCUACUCUACCUGAUUAUUGUUAUUAUUAUUAUCACAGGAACUAAUGAGCGCAGGUCUAACUAAAAAGACUUGCUAAUAAAUGAAUGUGAAGAGUCAAUCAGCCUUGACCAAAGUGCAGAGAUGCUGCCUUGCUAAAAGUGCAACACCACCAGCGCAGACCAGAGCAGCACAGCAGCGCUGCGCAGCCAGAGCAGAGCAGCGCAGACCAGAGCGCAGAGCUGGCCUUGCUAGAGCCGGAGUUACCCGCUUCACCAAAGAAGGACAGUGCAGAUGGGUCAAAUCAAGACUAAAGUUAAAUGUAUUAAGGCAUUAAAGGGCCUAAAUCCAAUUAUUAGAGUUCAUGGGCCUAAGGCCUUUAGGGCUCACUCUCACAUCUAUAAAUAGAAGGUUAGCAUUAGGAUCAUAGUUUAUUUGGGCGCAACACACUUGUAAAAUGUAAUUAUCUCGAAGUAUAGUGGAAGAACUCGAAGAUCUCCUGUGGCGUAGGUCUUAAUGACCGAACCACGUAAAUCCUGUCUCGAUUACUGCUUUUUAGAUUAGGCGUUGAUUUCAUGCUUCACCACACAGCGCCUCCCUCAUCGUGCCGGACCGAGUCGAGAGUGUUGGUGUGCCGCGCGCCCGCGAACUCCCUCAAAUUUUUGCAAUUCUCUCUUCAAUUUCGUCAAAUCUAUCCCUUCAAUUUUUAUUCUCUCAAAUUUAUUUCAAGCAAUGGAUCACCAAUUCGACGAUUACAUGCAGAAAUACGCCGAAAUGAUGGGGGUUCGUACAUUUCUCUCAAGCCUCCAAUAUUUUUGCUCCAGGCUCUCUUCCAACCUCGGCAACGCUACCGCCCGUAAUUGAAGUCAAAGAGGUGAAGCUAAAGUCUUCGAAGCACCGCACCGGGUACACGAGCGCCGAGACGGAGCUCAUAUGCAUGUUGUGGGCGGAGGCUACCCACAAUUCAGUUUUGGGAACGUCCCAAAAGGCUCACCAAUAUUGGGGAGCUAUCACUAAGAGAUUCAACACACUCAAACCAGAGGGAGCUCAUGUUCAUAAGAAUAGGUAUCAAAUCUCACUUUCAACGCAUUCAAAAAGACGUUAGAGUGUGGGAAGCGAUAUUGAGGUAGCCGGAUGAGUGAUGACCAAAUUAUUGAACAGGCGUAAGAAAUGUACGAGGCCAACCAUGGAACCAAAUUCAAGUAUUUCAAAGUUUGGAUGAUGUUGCGCGACUGUUAGAGAUUUGCAUCUCAGGGCAAGGAUAUACACUCUUCGAAAAAGUCAAAGGGCUCCAAGGGUAUGAUGCCCGAGGACGAAGUAUGGUGUGAUCGCCGGUGCAAAGAGGCACGGACAAGGAGCGGCUCCGAUUAAGACUUCCAAGCGGAGGGGCGCAGGGAUGAACCGGAACACACCCGAACGAGAGGGAUUCCGAGAAUAUGUUCGAGGAGAGCUUAAAUGAUAUGAUAGGUGCUACUCAUAUCAACAAGGUGCAUCUUCUUUUCUGGUGCCCACAUGAAAGAAACUUCAAGGUUAAGCGUACUUGGCUUAAAGCAAUUUCAGGAUGGGUGACCCCCUGAGAAGUUUCUCGGGAAGCGUGCGAGUGUGGACAAAGCACGCUAGAAGGUCUGUGGGGACAACCGUCAAAUCUGGAAUCGGGCUGUUACAAAGGGGCAAGCCAUAACAACAUCUUUGGAACCAAGUAUCGCGAUGAGGCCCCAAGGCCAAAAAGCGGCAAAGCGCGAUAAAGGCAAGGGGAAGAAGGAGGAAUCCUCGACGGAGAAGGCGUAAUACUUCAAUAAUACUUCAAAGCACUGGACCGUGUCAGAGUAUCAAUUAAAAAACAUGCCAUCCACACUGGUACCAUCGCCGAAGCCAAAAUAAAGGUUCAAUAGUUGAAAAGGGAGGCGAUCAAUGUCAAAAUCUUCAAUGCAGACACGUCGAAGAUGUCGGAGGCUCAAUUGGCAUUGCACAAGAGCAUGCUCCAAGAUUCACUCAAGCGUAGAGGAUUGAUGUAGGUAGAUUUAAAUUAUUGUAAUUUUUUUAAUUAAUGUUGAAUUUCAAAUUUUAGGAAUUUAAAUUAUUAUAAUUUUUAUUUUAAUUAAUGUAAUGUUGAAUUUUUUAUUUUAAUGAAAAAUAGAUUUUUAAAAUGCAAGAGUAAAAAUGAGAUUAAAUGAAAAUGAAGAUUAUAGCGCCACUUAUAGAGCCAAUGCAUUUGAGAUGUGAGGCGCUAAGGACCAAUUAGCGCAUCUCCUUAGCUCCUCCCACCAUGGAUGCUCUUAUUUUAUUAUAAACUACUCGUUUCUUAACAUUCAUAUCUAAAUUUUGAAGCCUAUAUAAAGAGGACGAACGAAGUAUAAUUUCUAAUAUCAUUCUUUUUUUUCAUCCAACCUAAAUAUUUGCAUCAAAUACCAUGUCAAAAUGAGUCUUUUAUCUCAUUCACAACUAAUUAUCAAUAUGCAAAUCAAAUAAUAUUCUCUAGAAUAUUACUUUCUUACUAAUACCAAAUUUGGUGUAAAUCUAGAAUGUCGUAAUGCCUUUCGAAUAAAAAAAAAAAACAACACUUUAAACUCUGGAUUUUCUGUUUAUGAAACCCGCGAUGCGAAAUUAAUUUUAAUUCUAGUAUGGUUCUUUCUUUUCCUAUGAGAAUAUUAUUUACAUAUACAUAUAUAUAUAUAUAUAUAUAGAAAGAGAGAGAGAGAACUGACUGAGGUUGCGAACGGUGGCUUUAACAGUGUAACCUCGGUGGAGCAGAAGUUUAACCAGCCAUGAUGCAACAUAUCCAGAUGCUCCUGUCACGCACACCACUUCUUUUCCUCCUCUACUCAUCUUCUCUCUCUCACUCUGCUUUGUUUUAAUUUGAACACAAAUAAGUGUGAUAUAUAUUCACAAAGGCUGUGUGAAACACACGUGUCUGAUGCAAUAUCGCAAAUAAGUGGUUCAGAAGAUUAUAUGCUUUGGCAAACUUUCGCUAUUUUCAGAUUUUUUUUUCUUCUUUUGAAACCGCUAUUUUCAGUUGUUAAUUUACUUGGUUUGAACAUUGCUUAGAAACGUAAUUGGUCUCUUAUCUUAUCUCUCAAAAGUAGACAUCAUUUAAUAAAAGUAUAGGAAGGACCGAUGCUGACAUAUUGACCAAUGUUCGGAGUAUCCAAAGAAAAAAAUGAUUAAAGUUUGUUAAACUUAAUUAAGGGAGACUACAAAGCAAAAGAGCGCUAGAUUAGCCGUCCAAGCGCUACUAAUUAUAAUUAAUAGAUUCUAAUUAAGAUUGUCGAUCUCAACUAAGUUCUCAUCCAUCAUGUGUCGACAAAAUCAAGAAAUUUUCAUUUUGAACUUGUCACUCCCCAAUUCAACCACCACCACCCUCUCUCUCUCUCUCUCUCUCCUCGNAUAUAUCAUCAUAACAUCAUAUACGUCUGCAGACAUACUUCGUUGUACUAUACCAUAUCUGCAAUGAUAACUGUGUGCCGAGAAGGUGGCCACCUUCUACGGUCACUGAUCGGCCGAUACGCUAAACCGGCUCACGGUCCUAGACCGGCCGAUACGCUAAACCAGCUCACGGACCUAGACCGGCCGAUACGCUAAACCGGCUCACGGUCCUAGCCCGGCCGAUAUGCUAAAUCGGCUCACGGUCCCUUGUGUACACUAAUCCUGUCUAACAUCUGGAUAGAACAGGAUCCGAAUUCGAUUAACUUCUGGUGUCAGAUAGGUAUCAUACAAGCUCAUAAAAUAAUUUGGCAAGUCAAUAACUUUAAUAUAACUUCAUUCAUGUAAACAUCAUGAAAUAGUGCACACUUCACAUUUUGAGUUUAGAAAGCCCACCUGAUCGUGGUCUGACGACACAAGUAACUUUGAGCUAAUGCUUUACUUCUUUCCCCUUGUAUUUGACCUUCAGUAUAAAUACUGACUAAUAAAUAAUGAGAACAUGAUGUGAAAUUUAUUUAGAGAAUACUUAUGUUGGUUUUAAGGUGAUAGUUCUGUUGGAACUUAUAGAAUGAAGAUUAAUUGCUACAUGGUGAACUUAUCAAAACCAACAAAGACUUAAACUGUGAUAUCAUAACUCUGUCAUUAGUCAGAACUCUAGUGUCUAAUUUAUGCGUAAUUACAUAGGGUAAUAGCAUAAAUUAAUCAAUCAAACUAAAUUUUAAUUAAUAGCUAAUAAUCCCUCAUAGAAGAUUAUUAAGCUCAAAUUAAACUACUACUCAGUUUAGUUAAAUAAAUUAGAUCCAUCUUCUAAUUAACUACCAAAGGCCAACAAUAAUCUUAUUUAACCAAGCCCACUAGAAAUAAUAAUAAGCCCAUCAGAAAUAGCUUAAGCCCAAUUAAAUAUACAAGUUCAAUAAAUAAUUAAAUCCACCACUGCAUUAACCAACCCAAGCCCAACAGUAAUUUAAUUUACAAAAGUCCAUCAAGACUUAUUAGCCCAAGUAAUUGUUUAAGCCCAACUGUAAUCACCCUUUUCCUUUUCUUCUACGCAAUAGUCAGUCUCUCUCCCUCUCUCCGCCUCCGGCAGAUGUCGCCGGUCCUCCCCGCCUCCGGCGCGGAGAGGCCGGCCCUCUCCUUCCCCCCCUCCUUUUCUUUCUUCCCUAUUUCCUUCCCAAUUUCUAAAAUUCCCAAAUUAUAGGGUUUGCUGCCUUCCUUUUUCCCUCUGAAAUUCGCCCCUCCGGCGAGGCCCGCCACUGCCGCCGCCGUCUCUGUGGCACCACCGCCACCUCCGUCUCAGGUAAGCUUCUUUUCUCUCCCACUCGAUUUCUCUCUCUUUCUGCUCCCCCUUCUCUAUCGAUUCUUAGUCGCGACGGCUGAUGCGAGCCGCGACGGCGCUCGCCGCCGUUUCUGCUCCUCCUUCUCUCCCUCCCUAACUUCGCCCCUAUAUCCUUCUCUGGUUCGUCUCUCUCUGUUUCUGUCUGUAUCUCGCUCAUAUCCCUCUCUCUCUCCCCGUUGGCAGCCACCGCGGACCGCUGUGGCGCGGGCAGCGCCGGCGGUCGCUGCCGCCAGUCACGCCUCCGCUGCAGUGGCUCGCGGCUGCUGUUGCCGUCCCUUCCCCUGUUCUAACUCUUCUUCUUCUCCUUUUUCUCUAUUUUUUCAGUUUUAAUACGUUAAAUUAACUAAAUCUCUAACUAUGUUCUAUAUCAGGAAUUGAUCGGCAUCUUCGACUCCGGUGUGGCAGCUUCGUCUACUGCCCAAGAUUCUACCUUUUCCUCCUUGUUUUUUAUUUAUCUGGUUUCUUGUUCAAUUAUUGAAAAUUGGGAUCGUUGAUGAUAAAGCAUACUGCUUAUGCUCAACUUGUAUAACUAUAUCUAUUUUGAUUGUUCGUGGCCGUUGAUCUAUACUCAAUGAAUGGAUUAUUGAAUAAAAGAAAGACUACCUUCUUUGCUGUGAACUGAUGUGGUUUAUUGCUGUGGAUGAUUUGUGUUUGGAUGGGCGUCUGCUUUUGGUGUGUAGAAUUUGCAGAAUGAGAAAAGAAAUGGAAUUACAGUGGUUUCUCAGUCAUAUACUGGACUGAGUCGGUUAGCAAAGUAGCUGCGUCAAAAGUUGAAGGCUACGUGUUGGAUUGAUACCUAAUCAAGAUUAAAAAUUCUAACGAUCUAAUUUAGAGUUAAUAAACAAUCAACUAAUCAUAUACAUAAGUUGGGCUCGACUACUCCAGCCCAAAAUAACUAUUGGGCUUUCUACUCUUACACAACUUUUAGCCCAUUUAUCCAUUAUUGUUGGGCUUUUUGCAUAAAAUCUUAUCAACCUUAAAAUUAUGAAAUACUUGGGCUUCUAUGAUUUUAAAAAAAAAUCUCAAUAUAAUCUGCUUGUUAAAUAACUAAGUUCAGGUUUUGCAUAAAAAUUGAGACUUCUCUUUCUUCUUUAAAAUCAUAGAAAAUAAUAUUAAUAAUAUAUAUACUGUGGUGAAAAUGCUGGGUGUUACACGAAGAUACGAGCAGAGGACGGAGGUAAGAUCGCCCGAGUACUACGAGAGUAAGCUAAGUUUGUCAGGUGGGCAUUAUUUUGAUAUACCUAUUAUACGAGCUUUCUUAAAUGAUAUGAUAUUUAUGAUUAUGAAUUGAGUUAAUGUUAUGCUUGAAACUAAUUGACUUGCCGAGUUUUGUUAAUAAUGACUUGUGUGUUACCCUCUACUGUUGAGACGAAUUCGGUCCUGCCACAAGCGGGAUUUUGUGCACAGAGGUGACUGUGAGCCGUCUAUCGGGUCGGCCGGUCACGGUACUUGAGAGGGAGGCCUACUUCUCAGUACCUUUAAUGAUGAGUAGUGGAUGUGGUACAUACUUAAUGAAUGUUUAAACUGCGCAGUUACUUUAUUAUGAUGUUAUGAUUUGCGAAAUUGCAUGCACAGGUUCUUCUCUAACUAAAACCCUUGUGUGUUGCUUAAUGUGGCAAGUUCAAUUUAUAGCUCUAAGAGCAAGCUUUCAUUUGUUUUUCGGCAUAUGUACACUGAGUACUUUGUACUCAGCCCUGCAUGUAUUUCUAAAUGUGCAGGAUAAGCGAGGAGGAGGAAGAUCGGUCUGGUGCUGGCGGGGACUUUUUUUUGUGGACGACAUUGUUC